CUGUAACUCACUAGCACAGCCAUUGCUAUAAUCUAUCUUCAGAACCCUUUUCAGCUUGAAAAUUUGCCCAUUAAAGAAUCUCUCCCCAUCCCCACCUCCUCAGAGCCCCUGGAAGCUACCAUCCUAUUUAUUGGUUAGUCCAUUGUGGAUUGACUAGUCCAUGACUAUAAGAGCAAUCACACAGUAUUUUUUCUUUGGUAACUGGCCUGUUUCACUACGAAAACAUCCUCAGGGUUCUUUUAUCAAGGACAUCAAGGACCAGCAUUUCUUUCCCUUUUAGGCUGAAUGGCCUGCUAUAUGUAUAGCACAAUUCCCUUUGCUCCUUGGUUAUUCUGAAUUACUUUGCACUGAACCUGGAUCCCUUACUACCAAUCUCUGAGGUUUAACGUAAGCUCCCAGAGGCUAGCAUGGCCAGUAAAUUUCCAGCAACCUACAGCUAGGAAGGGUCAGCCCCAGAGUCAUCAGAAUGACACUCCAAACUCUAUUAUAGUUGAAGAUGAAAAGAAUCUCACAGGUAAUCGUUGCAGUGGGUGCUCAAUACACGAUACCUAAUUAUGUAAGUGGUUGCUUAGUUUUAACCAACUACUGUUCCCAGUUGUGGUGAUGAUCUUAGUAAGAUAUAAGUUAUAGGGCUGGUCUCAGAUUGUUAAAUCACAAUAGUCUCUCCUUUAAACUGAAUGGCAAAGAUUGGUGACUGCCCCAAAAUCUAGAUCUCUUAUUCAAAUGGCAUGUAGACAAACUUUUGGGCAAGGCCAACAUUACUUGGAGUAGUUAGAGUGGCUAUCAUAUAUCAACUUGCAGAUCCCAGGUAAAGUCUAUAGCUCUCAAAACAAGCAGCAACAGAUAUUUUCUAGCUUCGAGUUAACCUCUGUGGAACACCCUUUGAGUCUUUCAGUUACUCACCCACCUCUCUAAAUCUAUGGAAGUGCUAGCUGCCUCUUUCUUUUACAUCAUAAAUAUCUUCUUACAGCUAGUGGUGGCACAUGCUUUUAAUCCCCAGAAUUCAGGAGGCAGAGACAGGGCAGAUGGAUCUCUUUGAGUUUAAGGCCACCCUGGUCUACAGAGUGAGUUCCAAGACAGCCAGAGCUACACAGUGAAACCCUGUUGAGAAACCUAGGCAGACAGACAGACAGAUAAAUAGAUAGAUAGAUAAUAAAUUGAUGAUAAGUAGAUAGGUAGGUAGAUAGAUAGAUAGAUAGAUAGAUAGAUAGAUAGAUAGAUAGAUAGAUAGAUAGAUAGAUAGAUAGAUGCUUUAAAAAGAGUGACAGGAUGCUGCCUUUAACUGAAAGGGGCUGUUCCUUACUAAAAGUUCUCCUUUCCUUUUUUAAAAUCCAUCAUUUUUAGUCAGGGACUCUCCUGUCAAGGCUUAUUACAGAUUCUAGGACAAGGUUUAGUGACAGAGCUGGACCGCUCUUUCAUCAGGAUCCAAUCCUGGGUAUUCACAGUGUGUCUUCCUCCUUGUUUUGUUUUGUUGUUUCUGUUUUAUUGAGGCAGGGUUUCUGUAUAUAGCCCUGGCUGUCCUGGAACUCACAUUGUAGACCAGCAGGAAGCUCCUGCACCCACAGGGCAUAGCCUAUUUCCCUAAAACAUGUUAUGGGUGUUAACUCCACAGAGAGAAAACACCCUACAGACAGCCUAGCUUCGGAGCAAAGAGUCCAUCGUCUUCCACAUUAGGUCUUAAGAUCUCUUGAACUGGGGGGAUCUCAGGAACCUCUGAGGCAGCACACAUUUCAGAUGUUUUAUUAAAUAGAUUUUCAAAAGUCAGUUAGCUCACUCAGACAUGUGGUCUCAGGUUUAAAAAUCACCAAACUGCCAACCACCAAAGGCCUCCGAUUUUAUAGAUGAUCAGUUGUACCAAGUAGCAUUUAUAUAAUACGUAGAGUGUCCAAGGACCUUCAGUGUACUAAACCUAUGAAGUAGGUUCAGAGUCAAUCAGGCGGAAACCCAAACAGGGAACUUCAAUAAUCCGCAGUCACAUACAAACUGAGAGAAUGCAUGGCCUAGAUUCCCACCUGGAUUCUGAACAGCAAAGAAGUUGGGCGGAUUAGCAUAAGUAACAAAAUCACCGGUACUCCAAUAAAUGAAGAGACAAUCACAAGCACCCCAAGUAGCGGGGACUAUUGGAAAAAAAAAAAAAAAAAAAAAAAACCUAUACCAACAGCAUAGGGAAGUCACUAUAGUCAGCCAAGAUAAGGCGGGCAAGUGGGAACUGUCGCACACACCCUUCCCCCAUUCAGAAGGAAAGGCAUCCCUGAAUUCUUAAAAUAACUCUAGCUUCCUCUUGGCCAAGGCGUUGGACUACUCCUCUGCCUGCUGACAGAAGUCGAGCUACUCGGGAGGUCGAGCUCCAGCCUCUGUGGCAGCCGUUCGACGUCACCACCUUGCCUUGAGUCACCAGGGACCUCAGCUGUCAGCCACCCUUAGAGAGGGGCUGGGUUCAAACCCCCCUUCUCAUCCCUGGGGACUCAAGGUCCUAUCUGGAGACUAAAUACUGGAUCCCAGGUGACUCACUCUGGAAUCCCCACCGCGCUCCCUUUCGGAGUGGACUCAGGCUUCUCUGCCAGGCAAGAGAAGCUGGAAAGGGGCAUGGGAGAGACUCGACGACAAGGACCCAGGGGCGCCCACCCGGUGCGCACCGCCCACCACGCCUCCGCUCCGCUCCGCUGCGGACACCUGCGGAGUCGCCGCCCCCGCGUCCCCGCUCGAUCGCCUGGGCGAGUCACUGUCUCCCAAGGCUGAAGGAGUCUAGAUGCUCUUACCACCCGGGGCCAGCGCGAGCGCCACCAAGAAACAGUGCGCGACCUCUGCUGCAGGCGCUGUGGCUGCACCGAAACCCCGAGUCCCAAGCCAAAAAAGCGACCUGUGCUCGGGUCUAUGACCCAGCCCCGGUCCCUGCCCGCUCCACCCUACGCACCCACCCUGCGCUCAAGCCCCCGACAUACUCGCUGGUGGUGGAAGUUUCGGGGCGGCGGAACUCCACGGUGACUUCGGUUAAAAGCUGUUCACGCGACGGGAUAGCCCUGAGGGGCCCGCCUGGGAAGCAGCUGCGGGCCCGGGUCUUAGGACGCGUGGCCGGGGCUUGCGGGCACACUGCUCGGGGAACAGUGUCUGGCCUGCAGCAACCUAUUAGCUGCAGAACGUCGGCCAGGAGGCGCCCAGGCCCGGCUCGGUGGGAGAGGAACUGGCUGUC
ensembl:lincRNA